rnacentral:rRNA from 1 species
AGAGAUGGAUUGGUGCCUUCGGGAACUCUGACACAGGUGCUGCAUGGCUGUCGUCAGCUCGUGUCGUGAGAUGUUGGGUUAUGUCCGUAACGAGCGCAACCCUUGUCCUUAGUUACCAGCACGUUAUGGUGGGCACUCUAAGGAGACUGCCGGUGACAAACCGGAGGAAGGUGGGGAUGACGUCAGGUCAUCAUGGCCCUUACGGCCUGGGCUACACACGUGCUACAAUGGUCGGUACAAAGGGUUGCCAAGCCGCGAGGUGGAGCUAAUCCCAUAAAACCGAUCGUAGUCCGGAUCGCAGUCUGCAACUCGACUGCGUGAAGUCGGAAUCGCUAGUAAUCGUGAAUCAGAAUGUCACGGUGAAUACGUUCCCGGGCCUU